AGCUCGCUCCCUCUUACAGUUCUACGUCCCUCGAGAUGGAUUCGAUGCUAAUACUGGCCGACUAAUUGCACGCUACUAAGAAUCGAUCUGGAACACGACUUGACAGCGCGCAACGAGUUAGUGACGUCUCCCGUCUGACGAUUCAUCCUACAAAAGGGGAAAUUCUUGAUCUUUCGCGUGGCAUGACAUUGAUAUUAGUCUCGUUAGUUUGCUUUUCUCGCGAAACGAGCUUACCGGGCACUUACAAAGUUAAGUUCGAUCGCGUUGCCGGAGGAUCGCGAACCGAAUGUAGAAGAGGAGACAGAUAUCUCUCUCUAUAUCGAGAUACAUGGAAUCGCAUAUAUGCACGUGUAUCGUGAAAUAUGAAUCUGACGAAGUGGAGCAAUUGCAUAUGGCUCAAUCCACCGGCGACACGUAAGUAAACUGUCAGCUCUCGUGAAGUACAAUAAAUCUAAGAAAUGUCGGUAACCUGAAUUUUCGCUAUAAUGCGCCUCGAGCUUGCAGAUGCAAAAGGGAAUAGAGUAGGUGCAUUUUAUCGUAUCGGCAACCUCGCUCGUGUAUCACUCGCAUAAAAGUUCGUCGAAUUACACCUUACAUCGGUAUACGCUGUGUACACCGCUGCUUUGAAGCAUACCAAUAUAUGUAUUUGUAUUAUGCGCUUAAAACAUACGUCACGAAUCACAUUUUGUCCUGCGCAUGAAUCUUUGGAAUUGAGAAUUCAGUAUGUAUUCCGUCUUUCACUUCGCUACGAAUUUCGACGAUUCUAUUAAUAAUUGAAAGCACUAUAGUAAGCUAGGGGCAACAACGUUGUUAUUAAUCCUCCGCGUGGGAAAUCGUCUUCGAGCAUUAAUCUUACACUGGUGGUGCGCGCCGCCGACGGAAACGAGACGCGUUCGGCACUAACAAGAAAUUGCACAAUCACAUCGUGCAUCUUCAACGGCGUACUUUUGGUCCGCGCCGGUUUUUUUAUCUCAUAAAUAGCCCGAUUAGACAGACAACACGCAGGCAAACACAUGGCCAGACACAAGACCACCAGAAAGACUCGUCCUGGGCGGCUUAUACACUUGGGAACAUCUGGCUUUUGCAGUGACGAUAGCCUCGUUAGUCACACCACUCUCGUCCUCUUGUAAUCUUAUUACCGCCUUGUGUAAGAUGCCUCGUUCAGGCGCCAUUGCUUUCUAAUUUCUACUCGAUUCUAAUUUCUACUUCCUUUGCUUUGCUAUACCAACGCACCAGACUUACAAAUUUCUUGUUCGGACCCUGGCGUCGCGGUCUACGUGUUGCGUCUGAUGCUCCUCUC
rnacentral:misc_RNA from 1 species